rnacentral:hammerhead_ribozyme from 1 species
AUCCAGCUGAUGAGUUCCAAAUAGGACGAAACGCGUGUUAAACUGGAU